UGUCCUCCCUGAAUGAAGAACUGCUGGGGGGCGUCGCCUGGUGAGGCGGCACACUGCAGGAUGGUAGCCCCAGGCUGCGGGGUCAGAGAUUGACCCCCAUGAAGGGCCUGGGCUCCGGUGGCACUCAGCUGGAUGGUUCUACCCUGAGCGAUGGAGACUGUGGAAGAGGCGGCGUUGCCCAAGUGGCUCUUUACUGAUUAGCUCCAAGGAGCAGUCGUGUAUUUUAGUGUGGUUGUAUAGUUACUCUGACAGUACACUGACUGUAUUGUCCUGAGCUGGUCUGGUAGAUGGUCGGCGUGGAAGAAGAGUUCACAUUUGCUACCGCCGCCUCCUCCUCCUCUUCCUCCUCGUCAAUUUUGGCAACGGCCGGAGAAUCCAAUGAGAGCUCUUUGAGGAUUUUCCUAUGCAAAAAGAAAAGGUUAGGUGAUGAGGAUGUCAUCACUUGUGGUGAUGUACAACGUUCUCACCGAUAAGAUGGACGUCUGGAGAGGAGCUCCCGUCUCUUGUGUUCUUACCUCAUGAGUUGGAGCUUGCGGUGACUGGAUGACUGAGGUCUGAGUCCUCCUGCUCGGAGAAACCUGCCAGUACAUAUGGAAAGGAGAAAGAAGCUCAGCUAUUGGCCCAGCAUGACAGCAGGUGGCCUGUGAUUCAACAGCAAGUGGAUGAAGUUGUCCAUGGAGGUUUCCAGAUGGUCCAGCAGGGGUGUCCUGGGGACAACCUCCCUGACAACAGGCAGCCAAAUGUGAUCCGCAGCGGAGGACUGUUGCUCAGAAAUUGAGCGCGGCAUAAAGCACAACACAAUGACAUGGUGGUAACACCAUCAAAAGGGCCUUCAAUGUGGUCUUUACAGCUUAACAAGAUCACUUCACAGCUGCUGCAAAACGCUAACGUGGAGUCAUUGUGGGACAUUACACAGCUGAUAUGUCUCACAAGUCAACCCAGGACAACUCAUUUGAAAAUUUAACAACGCUGAUGUGAAAUACAGUGGUUAUAUGUUUAAAUAAAGAAGAAUGGUGUGAUUUCUCAAAGAAUGGGAAUCCGAAACGUGCGUUACUAUAGCAACAUGACUCUCAGAGGCAGUUGGUAAUCAUUGUGCACCACCAGGGGGCGCUACAGACUGACAUUGG